UUUUUUAGCCUCAGCAGCUGAUGGCAUCUAACCAACCAUGAUUGAUCUCAAAGCUAAGCAGGCUCAGAGCUGAUUAAUACUUGGAUGGGAGACCAACAGAAAAUUCUAGAGCUCAAAGAU
rnacentral:rRNA from 1 species